UUUUUGCGUGUGGGAUUGAAGUAGAGCUCUUUUUAUAUUUGUCGAUUUUUCUUCGCCGAAUAUAAAAAAGCAGGAACGGAAAGCCCGACCCGAC
rnacentral:sRNA from 1 species